rnacentral:lncRNA from 1 species
AUGAAAGAGAGGGAGGGAGGGAGGGAGGGAGAGAUGCUUCCACCUGCAUUUUUAAAAAGUGAAAGGAACAAGGAGCAUCGAACAGAGCAGGGGAGAGCAAAUACUACAAUCAAAAUGGCCUUCGCUUCUCCCAGCACCACGGACAGAGACGUGGGGCUCCUUCUGAGAUGCCUGCAUGGGCACUGCCGGUGGGCGACGCGUGCAAAUCGCCCACCGGACGUUUAGACUUUCCCCAGAACAAACGGGAAGCAGAGUGGCCUCCUCUGGACUCCGGCCUUAUCUGGGACGGCAUGGAAAGAGAAAUCUUUGCACCGCUUCAACGCCUCGGAGGCAAAGAUCGGCUUUUCCUGAAUGACUGACUGGUGGUCCGAGAGGGGUUUUCAAUGGACUGUUGUGCUCUGUGGCUUCAAAUGUGCUCUAAUAUUGAUCUUAGUGAUCAUUUUAAUAUAAUAUCUCUUUAAUUCUUUUUCAAUAUUUGUAUACUUACUGUUUUAGCUGUCGAGUACUGUUUCAAUGAUGCAAGCUUCCUGGGGUCCCUUUGGGGAGAAAGGUGGCAUAGAAAGACUUUAAAUAGCUAGUCUUGGGAGAGUGGGAGGGGUGGCCCUCAGGGACCGCUGCGCCUCCAUGCUGGGCUGUUCACAGGCUUCAUUUCUAUCCUGUUUUUGUUUUUUGUUUUUUGUUUUGGUCCGGGGAGUCCCAGGUGGCGCCAUCAGCUCUUGCCUUGCCUGUUUUACCCUCGUGGUGAUCCUGUGCAGUAAAUCAGACUCAGAAGCAGAGCUUCCCUGAGAGGGUUCAGGGUUCUGUGGGUCCUUGAACCCAGGCUUCUACAGUCCAGCACCCUUACCCAAAACACACACACACACACCCCAUGGGCUCCGACCACAGGCCAUGUCAUCCUUCUGGAGGUCAAAUGGCAGCUGGGUGAGGGCCCUGACGCCAUUCCCCUUACUUCCUCCCCACCUCCUGCUUACAUGGCAAUCCCUCUGCUGAUGGUGGAGCUUGCCCGCUGAAAGGUGUGCACAGUGACAGGGGAGGGAGCCUGGCCUUCUCCAGGCUGGAGUGGAGAACGGCUUGGUUGUAAUCCUGUCUCUUUGUGGGACACGCUUGGAUGAGUCUGUCACCCCUCAUCAGCUGCCAGCCCUCAGAGCUCUCUUCUGUCUGACUGUCAGAGCAAAUCCUCCUUACUCUGAGCCAUCAGGCGCGCUCCUACAGGCAUCACAGCACC